rnacentral:rRNA from 1 species
AUGGCCCUCCUCGGCAAGGCUGGAGCGGACGACGGCAACCGGGUCGUGAUGCCGGCGUCGGCGCUGGACGGGAUCAACUCGGCGCUGGUGGAGUACCCGCUCGUGUUCCGGGUCCAGAACGCCGCCACCCUCGACGCCACCAACUGCGGCAUGCUCGAGUUCGGCGCCGAGGAGGGGUUCGUGUACGUGCCCGCACUCACCAUGGUGCGGCUCGGGCUGGAGGAGGACGACCUGGUGCUCAUGACAAGCACGUCGCUCCCCAAGGCCACGUCCGUCAAGCUGCGGCCGCACACCAUGGACUUUCUGGGAGCCAAGGACCUCAAGCGGCUGCUCGAGUUCAACGUCAGACUGAACACGCCGUGCGUGACGGUCGGCGACACGAUCGCCGUCGCCGAGGGGGACCGGCGGUACCUCCUGGACGUCGUCGAGGCCAAGCCUGCCGACGCCGUGUCCACCCUCGACACCGACUGCGAGGUCGACUUCGCGACGCCGCUCGACUACGUGCAGCCUCCUGCUCCGGUGCCAGUGAAAGUCGCCGCCACCCCAUGCCAAGACUGCGCCCACGGCGGCGAGCGGCGGUUCGUCGGCGUCGGGAUGAGGAUGGACGGCAAGCCCGUGGAGACGCCGCCCCCUGCACCGGCGCCGGAGGCCGGUUCUUCGGUCAAGGGGAAGAGUGCUAGCGAGCAUGUGCUUCGGUUCUUCGGCCGCCGCGGCUCGGUGGUGGUGCCGCCCCCUGGCGCCAAGUCGAAAAAGAAGGUGGAUGGUGAUGAGGACAAGGAGGCUAAAUGGUUCACCGGCCAGAAGUAUACCCUCUAG